ACGAACGCUGGCGGCAUGCCUUACACAUGCAAGUCGAACGUGAAAGUGUCUUCGGACAUUAGUAGAGUGGCAAACGGGUGAGUAACGCGUGGGAAUAUACCUUAUAGUACGGAAUAGCCUCGGGAAACUGGGAUUAAUACCGCAUACGCCCUUAGGGGGAAAGAUUUAUCGCUAUAAGAUUAGCCCGCGUUAGAUUAGCUAGUUGGUGGGGUAAUAGCCUACCAAGGCAACGAUCUAUAGCUGGUCUGAGAGGACGAUCAGCCACAUUGGGACUGAGACACGGCCCAAACUCCUACGGGAGGCAGCAGUGGGGAAUAUUGGACAAUGGACGAAAGUCUGAUCCAGCAAUGCCGCGUGAGUGAUGAAGGCCUUAGGGUUGUAAAGCUCUUUAAGUGGGGAAGAUAAUGACGGUACCCACAGAAUAAGCACCGGCUAACUUCGU
rnacentral:rRNA from 1 species